rnacentral:rRNA from 1 species
AACGAACGCUGGCGGCAGGCUUAACACAUGCAAGUCGAACGCCCCGCAAGGGGAGUGGCAGACGGGUGAGUAACGCGUGGGAACGUGCCCUUCGCUUCGGAAUAGCCCCGGGAAACUGGGAGUAAUACCGAAUACGCCGUAUUGGGAAAGAUUUAUCGGCGACGGAUCGGCCCGCGUUAGAUUAGCUAGUUGGCGGUGUAAUGGACCACCAAGGCUACGAUCUAUAGCUGGUCUGAGAGGAUGAUCAGCCACACUGGGACUGAGACACGGCCCAGACUCCUACGGGAGGCAGCAGUGGGGAAUCUUGGACAAUGGGCGCAAGCCUGAGCCAGCCAUGCCGCGUGAGUGAAGAAGGCCUUAGGGUUGUAAAACUCUUUCGCCGGAGAAGAUAAUGACGGUAUCCGGAGAAGAAGCCCCGGCUAACUUCGUGCCAGCCGCCGCGGUAAAAC